GGAGGAUUCGCAUAGUGGCCUAGUGCGCACGAUUGGAAAUCGUGUUGGGUUAAUCACCCUCGCGGGUUCAAAUCCCGCAUCCUCCGCCA
rnacentral:tRNA from 1 species